UACGAAGGGGGCUAGCGUUGCUCGGAAUCACUGGGCGUAAAGGGUGCGUAGGCGGGUUUUUAAGUCAGGGGGGAAAUCCUGGAGCUCAACUCCAGAACUGCCUUUGAUACUGAAGAUCUUGAGUCCGGGAGAGGUGAGUGGAACUGCGAGUGUAGAGGUGAAAUUCGUAGAUAUUCGCAAGAACACCAGUGGCGAAGGCGGCUCACUGGCCCGGUACUGACGCUGAGGAGCGAAAGCGUGGGGAGCGAACAGG
rnacentral:rRNA from 1 species